rnacentral:rRNA from 1 species
GCAGUCGAGCGGCAGCGGGAGGUGCUUGCACCUCGCCGGCGAGCGGCGGACGGGUGAGUAAUGCAUAGGAAUCUGCCCGGUAGUGGGGGAUAACCUGGGGAAACCCAGGCUAAUACCGCAUACGUCCUACGGGAGAAAGCAGGGGAUCUUCGGACCUUGCGCUAUCGGAUGAGCCUAUGCCGGAUUAGCUGGUUGGUAGGGUAAUGGCCUACCAAGGCAACGAUCCGUAGCUGGUCUGAGAGGAUGAUCAGCCACACUGGGACUGAGACACGGCCCAGACUCCUACGGGAGGCAGCAGUGGGGAAUAUUGGACAAUGGGCGCAAGCCUGAUCCAGCCAUGCCGCGUGUGUGAAGAAGGCUUUCGGGUUGUAAAGCACUUUCAGUGGGGAAGAAGGCCUGUCGGUUAAUACCCGACAGGAACGACAUCACCCACAGAAGAAGCACCGGCUAACUCCGUGCCAGCAGCCGCGGUAAUACGGAGGGUGCGAGCGUUAAUCGGAAUUACUGGGCGUAAAGCGCGCGUAGGCGGCGUGAUAAGCCGGUUGUGAAAGCCCCGGGCUCAACCUGGGAACGGCAUCCGGAACUGUCAGGCUAGAGUGCAGGAGAGGAAGGUAGAAUUCCCGGUGUAGCGGUGAAAUGCGUAGAGAUCGGGAGGAAUACCAGUGGCGAAGGCGGCCUUCUGGACUGACACUGACGCUGA